GGCAGGUACAGUUCCUCCCUCAGCAGGGCCCAGGACACAGUGAGCAUACAAUAGACAUUAGCUGCUGUGGUGUCUUGAUUUCAAGCCCAGUGCAGAUGCAUCUGACUUACGAAACUUCAGUGACACCUGCUCUGUGCCAGACACUGAAGAUGGAGCAGUGAACAGCACUGACCCAGCCUGUCCUCCUGUUGCCUGCAGGCCAGAAGCAAGGUCUCGCUGUGUUACCCUGGCUGGAGUGCAGUGGCUACUUACAGGCAUGAUCAUAGCAUACUGCAGCCUCGAACUCCUGGACUAGAGCAGUUCUCCUGCCUCAGCCUCCAGAGCAGCUGGGACUGCAGACACGCACCACAGAGCCCAGCCUGAGUCAUUUUGAUUCUGUAACUGGCUUCCUCUCGGCGGGCAGGCUCACACCCUCCACCCCCAGCUGGAGAUGGAAGGAGGAUGCUCACCGCCCAUUCCUCAUGCAGGCCAUCGAUGGAAAUGUCAGACAGUGCGAGUCCACGCCUGAACACUUCUGGGGUCCGCUCUGGGACUGACACUGGCAGAUCCAUCGUGGCACCCGAGCUCUGUGAGGGCAAGACUUUGUUCGGUUGUGGGCUAUGCCCCCAACCCCUCGGACAGUGCCUGCACAGGUGGACAUUUUUGUUGGAUGAAGGAUUUUCUGUUAAAUGUGUCUGGCACACACAGAAAAACAAAGCCCAGCAGAUGCCGUUCCAUUGUUUGCUGACUUUCAUUGAUUCUAUGAGAAGUCUGCAGUCUUUUGCAGCGUUGUUUUCCUAUGUAUAAUUGUCUCCUCCCACCCCACUCACCCCAGCUGCUUUCCACAUUCUCUCUCUUUGAUUUUCAGCAGUCUGCCCAUGAUGUGCCUAAAUAGGACUUUCUUUGCAUUCAUCUUGGCUGGGGCUCACUGAACUUUCUGAAUCUGUAGAUUAAUUUUCUUUUUUCAAUAAACCUUGGAAUAUUUUCAGCAUAA
rnacentral:lncRNA from 1 species